rnacentral:tRNA from 1 species
GGAUGUGGCUCAAGUGGUAGGGCGCUCAUCUGGCAUGCGCGGCCUGGGUUCGAUCCUCAGCGCCA